UGCCAAGACUUGCAGUCCGAACGAAGCUUCCUGGUAUUGAUUGGUGCUUGCAUCAUGAUUUACAUUUGAGUGAGUGGCGAACUGGUGAGUAACACGUGGGAAACCUGCCCAGAAGCGGGGGAUAACACCUGGAAACAGAUGCUAAUACCGCAUAACAACUUGGACCGCAUGGUCCGAGUUUGAAAGAUGGCUUCGGCUAUCACUUUUGGAUGGUCCCGCGGCGUAUUAGCUAGAUGGUGGGGUAACGGCUCACCAUGGCAAUGAUACGUAGCCGACCUGAGAGGGUAAUCGGCCACAUUGGGACUGAGACACGGCCCAAACUCCUACGGGAGGCAGCAGUAGGGAAUCUUCCACAAUGGACGAAAGUCUGAUGGAGCAACGCCGCGUGAGUGAAGAAGGGUUUCGGCUCGUAAAACUCUGUUGUUAAAGAAGAACAUAUCUGAGAGUAACUGUUCAGGUAUUGACGGUAUUUAACCAGAAAGCCACGGCUAACUACGUGCCAGCAGCCGCGGUAAUACGUAGGUGGCAAGCGUUGUCCGGAUUUAUUGGGCGUAAAGCGAGCGCAGGCGGUUUUUUAAGUCUGAUGUGAAAGCCUUCGGCUCAACCGAAGAAGUGCAUCGGAAACUGGGAAACUUGAGUGCAGAAGAGGACAGUGGAACUCCAUGUGUAGCGGUGAAAUGCGUAGAUAUAUGGAAGAACACCAGUGGCGAAGGCGGCUGUCUGGUCUGUAACUGACGCUGAGGCUCGAAAGUAUGGGUAGCAAACAGGAUUAGAUACCCUGGUAGUCCAUACCGUAAACGAUGAAUGCUAAGUGUUGGAGGGUUUCCGCCCUUCAGUGCUGCAGCUAACGCAUUAAGCAUUCCGCCUGGGGAGUACGGCCGCAAGGCUGAAACUCAAAGGAAUUGACGGGGGCCCGCACAAGCGGUGGAGCAUGUGGUUUAAUUCGAAGCUACGCGAAGAACCUUACCAGGUCUUGACAUACUAUGCAAAUCUAAGAGAUUAGACGUUCCCUUCGGGGACAUGGAUACAGGUGGUGCAUGGUUGUCGUCAGCUCGUGUCGUGAGAUGUUGGGUUAAGUCCCGCAACGAGCGCAACCCUUAUUAUCAGUUGCCAGCAUUAAGUUGGGCACUCUGGUGAGACUGCCGGUGACAAACCGGAGGAAGGUGGGGAUGACGUCAAAUCAUCAUGCCCCUUAUGACCUGGGCUACACACGUGCUACAAUGGAUGGUACAACGAGUUGCGAACUCGCGAGAGUAAGCUAAUCUCUUAAAGCCAUUCUCAGUUCGGAUUGUAGGCUGCAACUCGCCUACAUGAAGUCGGAAUCGCUAGUAAUCGCGGAUCAGCAUGCCGCGGUGAAUACGUUCCCGGGCCUUGUACACACCGCCCGUCACACCAUGAGAGUUUGUAACACCCAAAGUCGGUGGGGUAA
rnacentral:rRNA from 1 species